rnacentral:rRNA from 1 species
AACGAACGCUGGCGGCGUGCCUAACACAUGCAAGUCGUGCGAGAAAGUUCCUUCGGGAGCGAGUAAAGCGGCGCACGGGUGAGUAACACGUAGGUAACCUGCCCCCCAGUCUGGAACAACUAGAGGAAACUCUAGCUAAUGCCGGAUGAGACCACGAUCCCUUCGGGGGUUGCGGCCAAAGAUGGCCUCUACUUGUAAGCUAUCGCUGAGGGAUGGGCCUGCGGGCCAUUAGCUUGUUGGUGAGGUAACGGCUCACCAAGGGCUGUGAUGGCUAGCUGGUCUGAGAGGAUGACCAGCCACACUGGGACUGAGGACACGGCCCAGACUCCCUACGGGAGGCAGCAGUGGGGAAUAUGCGCAAUGGGCGAAAGCCUGACGCAGCGACGCCGCGUGGG